rnacentral:rRNA from 1 species
UACGGAGGGUGCAAGCGUUAUCCGGAUUCACUGGGUUUAAAGGGUGCGUAGGCGGGCAGGUAAGUCAGUGGUGAAAUCUUCGAGCUUAACUCGGAAACUGCCGUUGAUACUAUCUGUCUUGAAUACCGUGGAGGUGAGCGGAAUAUGUCAUGUAGCGGUGAAAUGCUUAGAUAUCUGGAGGAAUACCGGUGGCGAAGGCGGCAUCCUGGACCGAGAUUGACACUGAUGAGCGAAAGCCAGGGGAGCAAACGGG